UAAAGCCUCCAACCCAGCAGCCGAAACCCUACCUACCUUCCCUUUCACCCAUGGACAGCAACACCCAUGGUUUCCCCUUCCAUGACCGAAAGUAACAGAAUCAAAGAGGGAAAGGGAAACUGAGCUGCGGCGAGGAAGGGAGGAGGGAGCUCAUCGCCGCCAUCGCGUCUCACCGCCACAGCAGUCCAUGCUGCCAGGGACACUGUCGAACCACCACGUUGCCACCGAUUUGCCGCCGUCAAAGUUUCCUGCAUCGCCACUGUUUGCGCAGAAGAGGGUUUGAGGAAAAGCAGCUAUCGCGCGCGAGCCAGAGGAGCUCGUCCUCGCCGAUCUGACGCCGUCGGGGUAACCGCGCCGUCGUCCUUGUCAGCUCCGAACGAGAAGAACGAUGGGGCUUUGUUUCUGCUUCCAUGGUUCGCUGUGAGUGGGCGACGUUGGGAGAGAGAGGGAGUCGCUGUGGAGCCACGAGCUGCGCCGGUCGCUGCCGCGCCGCGUCGGAGAGGAAGGCUGAGAUUGAGCACCGCUGGGAGAGAGGACGACGCGAGCUAGAGGUCCGGUCGCCGCUGUGCUAUGGAGCAGAUUGAACCGCGCCGCGCUGUUGGGGUUCUCAUCGUCGCCGGAAAAGGAUUCAGGCCGCCGCAGGUGUCGCGGUCAGAGGAGGAAGCUGUGCCACUAUGUUUUGAUCGUCGAGAGUGGUUCUGUGACUUUCGGGAUCACCGCCGGAGCUCCGGGCUGAGCCUCUGCCGCUUGAGACUCUCCUGCCAUCGUUGGAAAUGGUUGUCGAUGUCGUGAUCGGAAUUCGUCACCGCUGCCGCUUGAGAUGGCUGCUGGGCUGCCACCAAACCGGUUCGAAGACCGUCGCCGUUUUUGGUUCAGCCGUUUCUCCUUCAGUUCGAGUUGUUGAGAUUAUGGAGGAAGCAAGUGGAGCCGAGUUGUUGGUUUCCGUCAUUUCGAGUUGAGGCGAAAAGGACUCGGUGAGGCGUUUGGACUAUGGAUUUGCGUUUUGAGGAUAUGGGCGCAGAAGUCACGAAGAGUUUAUCUAUUUGUUAUUGAGAUGCUCUGUAUUGCUUUAGAUUAUUAUUUUUGUACCCUCGCCUUUAUCUUAAUAUAUUCUGUAAGAGAGAUAGGAAUUGUAUUAGGUAAUGUUUGUAGUAUUACUUAUAUAUAUGUAUGUAUGGAUGUACUCUUGAUGAAAUCUUUUAAGUUGUAUGGUAUCUAUGGAUGUACGUUAUCGAACGGAA